UACGAAGGGGGCUAGCGUUGUUCGGAAUUACUGGGCGUAAAGCGCACGUAGGCGGGUUGUUAAGUCAGGGGUGAAAUCCUGGAGCUCAACUCCAGAACUGCCUUUGAUACUGGCAACCUAGAGACUGGAAGAGGUUAGUGGAAUUCCCAGUGUAGAGGUGAAAUUCGUAGAUAUUGGGAAGAACACCAGUGGCGAAGGCGGCUAACUGGUCCAGCACUGGACGCUGAGGUGCGAAAGCGUGGGGAGCAAACAGG
rnacentral:rRNA from 1 species